UACAGAGGGUGCAAGCGUUAAUCGGAUUUACUGGGCGUAAAGCGUGCGUAGGUGGUCUUUUAAGUCGGAUGUGAAAUCCCUGAGCUUAACUUAGGAAUUGCAUUCGAUACUGGGAGACUAGAGUUUGGGAGAGGAUGGUAGAAUUCCAGGUGUAGCGGUGAAAUGCGUAGAGAUCUGGAGGAAUACCGAUGGCGAAGGCAGCCAUCUGGCCUAAUACUGACACUGAGGUACGAAAGCAUGGGGAGCAAACAGG
rnacentral:rRNA from 1 species